CUGUAAGAGUAGCAUCUCUAUUUGGAGACUGCCUUCUUUAGAGUGCUUGAUGAGGUUUGAUCUUCAGAAAGGGGGAGAUUUUCAAGAGUCCUACAAUCAGUAUCUCAAAGCCUUCUGAAGAUAUAACCAUUCAUUGCAGCGCUUGGCUGGGUAAUGUUUCAGAGAAAAAAAUGUCAUCCUGUCUGAAUACACCAUGUUAGCAAGAGAGGAAAUGUACCUAUCGACAGAUGAACAGACAAAAAGACCCUGCAAUGCUUGAAAAAUAACUGGGACUUCUCAAUCACUUCUAUCUACCUGACAGCAAAGUUCACCUGCGAAGCAAGGGCAGAGUCUAAACAGCUACAGCAUAAUUUGAAAAACACUGAUGGGAGUGGGGCUGUGGAGUAAGAACACCAAAGUGCUGAUGGAUCUGCUGAAAGUGGAAGCAGCCACCAGAAGAUGUCAUCCCCCUUAAUACUGCCCAAAUGGAACAGAAGGACUCUGAGAAAUGAGGACAGCAGAUCCAGGAGAUUCGUAUCCAUCCUCAUGCUGCUAAUACUGCAGCUCCUUUAAGAUGGUAACAUUUCAUUGCUAGGAGAUAACCUGAGCUGGUAACUGUGCAGCAUCUUUUCAUACAGACUAGCUGGGGCCAUUCCAAUUGAGUAUAACAAAUGACAUAAGGAACAAUAUAAGCAGUGCUAUAAAUAAUAAUGCUGCAAUUCCAUUGAUGGCUUAUGGUGGCAUUAUAAAUGAUCGGAGCGAAGUCAGGAGGUCUCUUCACACCACCAGAGCCUCAUGCUGGAAUUAUAGAUCUAAUUUAAGUGCAUUUUGGGGGUAAAUUAUUUAUUAAAGUGUAAAGCUUAUGGAGAUAAAUGUUCAAGUAGUCAGACUCCUGGACUAGGUGAGCAUUGCUGGUCCUAAUAAUUACAGGUAGAAUUUGCCCUUGGGCAGAAGGGCUAGAUGAAGUUUUUAGCAACAUUUCAGAUAUCCAGAAGCCCUGGAGGACACUUCUUGGCACAAGGGUGCAAUCCGUAGCCUUGCAAUGAAAUGGCCUGCUUGUAUGAGCAAUCAGUUCUGAACCCAAUUUCUCAUACAUCCAUUGCAGUCAUUAAGCUGGUGUUAGGAGAUGGAGGGCAGAGAAGCCUUUCUCAGGCUGAUGGAAGAAAACAUGGGUCUUACAACUGUUGUUUUAAGUCUUCCUGUGUUAUGGCCCUGAAAUGAAGUCCUGGUGCUGUUUUCAUCUCUCGCAUGUGUUUCAUUCUAAUUUUAGCCAGAACUUGUCAGCAUUACCAAACCAGGGGAGCAAUGGUGGGGCUGUGGUGAAAUUCUCUCAGCCACGGAUUUCUUAGUGACCUCAGAGAGCCUGGAUGUGGCCGCAGAGCCCAGAAGACCAAGCUCAGGCUCUACCUGGUACUGCCUCCCUGAAGUCUGCUUUUGGGAUGGGAAGCAGAGGAAGGCUGAGCUCAUGAUCUCUGUGAGGAUGCAUUUUCUGGAGUUUUCUGUAGCAUAAAAAAUUGUCCAUGGAGCAGGAGUCUCAAGACAGUCUUGCUCCACUGGGCUGCAGUGGAGAUAAAUACAUUAAGAUGAGGUAUUAAGAUACAGUGGUAAUUAGGAGCCAUAUAAGUAACUUAGAUAUAAAAUGAAACUACUAAUAAUGCAUAAAUGCAAAGCCUUAAGAGGUUUGCUUCGUAUAAAGCACCCAGCCAUUUGGUGGCUUAGCUCAAUUCUCUGAAGCUGCAAAUUCAGCCUGAAAAUCUUAUGAGGAUAUGCUCUUUCAGUGAGAUUCUUUUUUUUCCUCCUUGUCAUAUUUAAAAUAUUGCUGAGGCCAACUUUUUGUCUACAGGCAGUGUUUUUUUCAUAGCUUCCAGCCAGACUAGAAAAUGUUGGAAGGCAGGGAAAAUAUAUUUAAAAUGUGAACUUAGCAGACUUGGGGGAAGAUCCUGAUUAAGGCACUGUAUCUAUAGGCCAGACCAGGGAGAUGAAGAUGGAAUCAGUAUUCCUGCCACUAAUUCACUCUGUAACCUUGUGUCUGUCGCUAAGCUUUUUUUUGUGCUCUAUUUUCCUUGUCAGUAAAAUGAGUAUUAUAAUAGUUACCUUCCUGAUAAGGGUUUCAGUUAAUCAAUUUCUAAAGCCCUUAAGUACAGAGAGAAGCAAGAUAGCAUAUCAACGAAGUCUAGCUUUCAUCUGUGCCUCAAUAUUCUCUGUGCUGCGUUGUCUGUAACUGAACAGGACCCGAUCUAUAUAAACCAGAAACUCUCCUAUUGAC